GACGAGCGCUGGCGGCGUGCCUAAUACAUGCAAGUUGAGCGCUGAAGGUUGGUACUUGUACCAACUGGAUGAGCAGCGAACGGGUGAGUAACGCGUGGGGAAUCUGCCUUUGAGCGGGGGACAACAUUUGGAAACGAAUGCUAAUACCGCAUAAAAACUUUAAACACAAGUUUUAAGUUUGAAAGAUGCAAUUGAAUCACUCAAAGAUGAUCCCGCGUUGUAUUAGCUAGUUGGUGAGGUAAAGGCUCACCAAGGAGAUGAUACAUAGCCGACCUGAGAGGGUGAUCGGCCACAUUGGGACUGAGACACGGCCCAAACUCCUACGGGAGGCAGCAGUAGGGAAUCUUCGGCAAUGGACGAAAGUCUGACCGAGCAACGCCGCGUGAGUGAAGAAGGUUUUCGGAUCGUAAAACUCUGUUGGUAGAGAAGAACGUUGGUGAGAGUGGAAAGCUCAUCAAGUGACGGUAACUACCCAGAAAGGGACGGCUAACUACGUG
rnacentral:rRNA from 1 species